UGGGGAAUAUUGCACAAUGGGCGCAAGCCUGAUGCAGCGACGCCGCGUGAGGGAUGACGGCCUUCGGGUUGUAAACCUCUUUCAGUAGGGAACAAGGCCCGCAAGGGUUGAGGGUACCUGCAGAAGAAGCGCCGGCUAACUACGUGCCAGCAGCCGCGGUAAUACGUAGGGCGCAAGCGUUGUCCGGAAUUAUUGGGCGUAAAGAGCUCGUAGGCGGUUUGUCGCGUCUGCUGUGAAAACGCGAGGCUUAACCUCGCGCCUGCAGUGGGUACGGGCAGACUAGAGUGCGGUAGGGGAGACUGGAAUUCCUGGUGUAGCGGUGGAAUGCGCAGAUAUCAGGAGGAACACCGGUGGCGAAGGCGGGUCUCUGGGCCGUUACUGACGCUGAGGAGCGAAAGCAUGGGGAGCGAACAGGAUUAGAUACCCUGGUAGUCCAUGCCGUAAACGUUGGGCACUAGGUGUGGGGCCCAUUCCACGGGUUCCGCGCCGCAGCUAACGCAUUAAGUGCCCC
rnacentral:rRNA from 1 species